rnacentral:sRNA from 1 species
AUUAAAUAUGUAAAAUAAAAUAAUAAAUAUAUCAUUAACCUAUAAAUUAAAAGUUGAAGAGCUUACAUUAAUUAUUUAAUAGACACAUGGCAAAUGGUAAAGUGAUGAUGUGUCAAUCAUAUGGAGAGAGUUGGCCACUUUCAUAUAUAUUAUCAUCGUCCUUAAACCCACCUAUCCGUUACUCCAGAUUCAAAGUAAACGGCGAAAAAAAAA